rnacentral:lncRNA from 1 species
UUGAAUAUAGUUAAAUGUAUGUUACAGGUGUUUAACAAAUGAAAAUAACGACCUAGCUACUUGAUGAACAUUAUGAUGAAUCAUAUUGUUACAAAGUUAUAAAGGAUUUAAAAAAAUUAUGACUUCAAAAUUGCACAAUUUUUUUCUAAAAUCUAAAAAUAAAUAAAUAAUGUAGUCUAUCCAUUUCAUUUUGUCUUACAUUUGUUGACUUGACACUCCAUUAAAAAGUUAUUUAAUAGGAGUUUAUUUAUUUAUCUCGAUAAUUAUAUUUUAAAGUAUAUGAUUGACAAUUAUUGGGCCUGUGAGGACAACCAAACCCGCAAGGUCCUCACUUAUAUUAAAUAUUGUUAUGUAGUUACUUAAUGAUAACAAUAAUAUUGAACGAAAAUAAUAAAUCUCUUUUGAGUAUCUAAAUAAUAAUAAAAAGAGAAUUUUAUUUUUAAUAUAAAGGUCAAACAAAGUGAAAAAGAGAGAAAAAAGGGCACUCCCUCAAUUUCUUUUUACUUAUUUUUUUUGUUUCGAUCAAUAACUUAACAUAGUACCAUUUUUAUUAGAUUUGUGUAUUACCCGUGCCCCUUUCUCAAACCUCCCCCCUCCCCUCUUUUAAUUUUUGAUUUUUCUUGUGGUUAAAAUAGAAAAUGAUUAGUAAUAAUUAAUGUUAUAUUUUUUAAUUUUUUGAGUAUAGUGUAAUUUUAUAAAGCAUUGGAACAGAGAUAUUAAUAAAAGUAUAUUUUAGAGAAGGAAUAGAUACACCAAUAGAAUUAUA